AUCCGCAGCAAUCGCGAGCAAAGUGAAAAUGCUCACGAGUUUAAUCACUUCCAUACCGCACCGGGGGUUAGUAUGAAGGUGAGCAAAAUAGGGCCGAUGCCGUCGGGACCGACGAAAUCACCAAAUUUGCUCACUAGAAAGGGGCGAGAGCAAACAUGCACUGAAAAAAAUUCUACCGUUUUGAGCAGAAUUAAACAAACGAUGUCGCAGCGUGUAGAUGUUUGUUGAUAUUUAUUUUAAGAAAAAACUGUAUCAGAUUAAAAUUGUGGAUGGUUUUUUUUUGGAAUUACCAGUUAAAUUUGCAAUUUCGUUACAUUUUUUCGGGUUUUUCCAAGAAUUGAACGAGAAAGUGUACAUGCUGGUUCUGAUGAUAAACAAACUUGAAGCAUCGUAAUUUGUGACCAAAAAUGGUCACUCGGAGUUUCUCGGAGUAAUAAUAAUCGAGACCAGUGCGCUGUGCAGGAUUUUUGUAUCCAACCGGCCAAUAUGGGUGGCAUUCCAGUACUGUCCCUACCGAUUCGGCUUUCGAAACGAGGUCUCUCAAUAAGUUUGCAACUAAUGGGACCCAGUUUUUCGGAGCAGCAACUAUUUCAAUCAGCACGUUGGAUAGAAAAAGAAGUUGAAGAUUUUUUAGAGAAGUAUGAUUUUAAUAUAAAUAUAAUAAACAAAUAAAGUUGAAUUGUUUAGUUUGUUGAA